rnacentral:rRNA from 1 species
CAAUAGCGUAUAUUUAAGUUGUUGCAGUUAAAAAGCUCGUAGUUGGAUUUCGGAUGGGAUUUGCCGGUCCGUCGUUACGAUGUGCACUGGCCAGUCCUAUCUUGUUGUCGGGGACUAGCUCCUUGGAUUCACUUCCUGGGACUAGGAGCUGACGAGGUUACUUUGAGUAAAUUAGAGUGUUCAAAGCAAGCCUACGCUCUGAAUACAUUAGCAUGGAAUAACACGAUAGGACUCUGGCUUAUCUUGUUGGUCUGUGAGACCAGAGUAAUGAUCAAGAGGGACAGUCGGGGACAUUCGUAUUUCAUUGUCAGAGGUGAAAUUCUUGGAUUUAUGAAAGACGAACUUCUGCGAAAGCAUUUGUCAAGGAUGUUUUCAUUAA